rnacentral:rRNA from 1 species
ACGCUAGCUACAGGCUUAACACAUGCAAGUCGAGGGGCAUCAGGAAGAAAGCUUGCUUUCUUUGCUGGCGACCGGCGCACGGGUGAGUAACACGUAUCCAACCUGCCCUUUACUCGGGGAUAGCCUUUCGAAAGAAAGAUUAAUACCCGAUAGCAUAAUGAUUCCGCAUGGUUUCAUUAUUAAAGGAUUCCGGUAAAGGAUGGGGAUGCGUUCCAUUAGGUUGUUGGUGAGGUAACGGCCCACCAAGCCUUCGAUGGAUAGGGGUUCUGAGAGGAAGGUCCCCCACAUUGGAACUGAGACACGGUCCAAACUCCUACGGGAGGCAGCAGUGAGGAAUAUUGGUCAAUGGGCGCUAGCCUGAACCAGCCAAGUAGCGUGAAGGAUGAAGGCUCUAUGGGUCGUAAACUUCUUUUAUAUAAGAAUAAAGUGCAGUAUGUAUACUGUUUUGUAUGUAUUAUAUGAAUAAGGAUCGGCUAACUCCGUGCCAGCAGCCGCGGUAAUACGGAGGAUCCGAGCGUUAUCCGGAUUUAUUGGGUUUAAAGGGAGCGUAGGUGGACUGGUAAGUCAGUUGUGAAAGUUUGCGGCUCAACCGUAAAAUUGCAGUUGAUACUGUCAGUCUUGAGUACAGUAGAGGUGGGCGGAAUUCGUGGUGUAGCGGUGAAAUGCUUAGAUAUCACGAAGAACUCCGAUUGCGAAGGCAGCUCACUGGACUGCAACUGACACUGAUGCUCGAAAGUGUGGGUAUCAAACAGGAUUAGAUACCCUGGUAUUCCACACAGUAAACGAUGAAUACUCGCUGUUUGCGAUAUACAGUAAGCGGCCAAGCGAAAGCAUUAAGUAUUCCACCUGGGGAGUACGCCGGCAACGGUGAAACUCAAAGGAAUUGACGGGGGCCCGCACAAGCGGAGGAACAUGUGGUUUAAUUCGAUGAUACGCGAGGAACCUUACCCGGGCUUAAAUUGCAGUGGAAUGAUGUGGAAACAUGUCAGUGAGCAAUCACCGCUGUGAAGGUGCUGCAUGGUUGUCGUCAGCUCGUGCCGUGAGGUGUCGGCUUAAGUGCCAUAACGAGCGCAACCCUUAUCUUUAGUUACUAACAGGUUAUGCUGAGGACUCUAGAGAGACUGCCGUCGUAAGAUGUGAGGAAGGUGGGGAUGACGUCAAAUCAGCACGGCCCUUACGUCCGGGGCUACACACGUGUUACAAUGGGGGGUACAGAAGGCAGCUAGCGGGUGACCGUAUGCUAAUCCCAAAAUCCUCUCUCAGUUCGGAUCGAAGUCUGCAACCCGACUUCGUGAAGCUGGAUUCGCUAGUAAUCGCGCAUCAGCCACGGCGCGGUGAAUACGUUCCCGGGCCUUGUACACACCGCCCGUCAAGCCAUGGGAGCCGGGGGUACCUGAAGUACGUAACCGCAAGGAUCGUCCUAGGGUAAAACUGGUGAAAGG